rnacentral:tRNA from 1 species
GCUAAUUUAUCUUAAGAAAUUAAAAGCUUAAAAAGUACUUUUAAUACUUAUAAAUUUAUAAAAAAAUAAAAAAAUUUACUUAAACUUAUUAUAUAAUAUUAAAUAUAAAAAAAAUUUACUUUUACUUAAAAUAUUAAUAUUAAUUAAUAAAAAUAUUAUUUUAAAUAUAAAAGUAUAUUAAUAAUAAUAUAAUAUUUAGAAGUAUUAAUUUUUUAAUUAUUAGUUUUUUUUUAAUUAUUAGUU